rnacentral:rRNA from 1 species
AUGGCAUCUCGUCUUCCCCAAGAUGACCAUAUCACCCCCCCAUCGCGUCGCCAUCCCCCACACCAGCGCUUCCCCGUCACCCCCCACCCUUUCGCCCCUGCCCCUGUCCCACCCUACUCGCCGAUCACUCCCCUCAACUUCGGCGCCCCCCCAAGUGAUAGCCGUUCGACGGACUCCGAUGCACCACCAUGUUGUUGCCGUCCGGAGCAGCUCGACGUCUACAUGCCUCCGGUUGACAUGAGGGAUUUUGAGCGCUACGGCUUUGCUUUCGUCGAUCCUGAAGCAACGUCUCCCGGGCCUCUAGUCCGCUCGGCGCUACUGUCCCAGGUUCCACUAGGCAUGGAGGCUCAGUGCGCGCAGGGCUCCCACGGCACUGCCCUGGUCCUGUUCCGCUCGGCGGCAUCCCGUGAAUUUGCUGUUGACGAGAGCUCGUUUCCCGUCCAGGAGCACAAUGUCUACUUUGAGCGUCAUGAGGAGGACCCCAACCGGCUGCUCUUCACUCAUCGUGGGUACGCGGCGCUGGCUCUUGUCGGCUACCCAGUGGAGCACUGGAACAGGCCGCAUAUACACACUUCAGUGGGAGGUAUGGGCAAUCCCAUGGAAAUCUCCGAGAUUUGCUUGUCCGGCGGCGACUACACUGCUGUGCUGAUGGUGAUCAAGUACGAGCGCUACCUCGCCAUACCUCAAGAUCUCAACGUCAAGAACUCGGACGGUCUCUAUGCUGUGGUUGAGGUCCAGCGUGUCCGUCGCUGGCCUAUCGAUGGUGCAGCGCCCCCUCCCCCUCCGCCCCUUGGCCCACCCGGCGGUGGUGGCGGUCGUCAUGGUGACGGCGGUGGCGGCCCCCCCACUGGCGGCGGCGGCGGCCCAAGCUGCGGGCUGCGUCGUGGGGUGCGGUCGUCUUGGCAUCACGGGUCCUCCAGCCGCGCAACAAUGCCCGCGGUGCUGCUGCCGGCUUCAGGAUCCUGUGCACCUCACCGUUGUUCUCUCCCAGACGAGGCUGCCUACUGCAUCGACGUGUCCGGCGAUGUCGGAGUGGAGCCACCUCCAUUCUCUGCCAUAACUGUGGGUGGAAUCCCACGCGUUGAGGACAUGCGCAUUGCUGUGUGCGAUGGUGCCUUUCAUCUUCUCGUCGAAGGCCAUGGCGGGCUGGGCUAUUUCCGUGUUCCUCAGGAGCUGGUCCGUGCCUCAGCUCAUGGGCCACGCGGCCUCGCCCAUGUGAAUCUCGUCUCCGGCGCUAUCGGGGUGAUAGACAAUAUCACAGUGGUGAAAGGCGUGAAGAAGGACGUGGCGGUGGACUUGCUUGCUGAUCCCGUCAUCACGGGCGACCCGAUGGUGUUUUCACCGGUGCGUCUCGGCGGCGCUGGAGUGAUGGUGGACCCCGUGGUGCCGGUGGUGCCACCUCCACCCACCCAUGAAGCCUCUCCAUGUGCUGCUGCGGCGAUGACUGAAGCGCCUCCUCGCGUUUCCCCGCCACGCCCCAAGCUUGCGCGCGUCCAGGAGGGUGCCCCCGUGCGCGCCAGCGCGCGUCUCCGCGGCAAGGCUCCGUCCCUGAAGAAGUCCAUCCUCGAGCGUGCCGUCAUGCUUAAGGCUGCCCAGCGCGGUGACGGCCCCCCGGUGCAGCCCGACGCCCCGCCGCUCUUCACGACGAUGGAGGUCAAGUCUGCAGCUGGAGCGUGCGACCUCCCGGCUGCUGCAACUGAUGCCAUCCUUGCGUCGUUUCCGGUGCUGCCCGUUCGUCCAUGA